GAUGAAGAACGUAGCGAAAUGCGAUGAGUAAUGUGAAUUGCAGAAUUCAGUGAAUCAUCGAAUCUUUGAACGCACAUUGCGCCCCUUGGUAUUCCGAGGGGCAUGCCUGUUCGAGCGUCAUUAUAACCCCUCAAGCUUAGCUUGGUGUUGGGGCCUGCUGUAAUAGAGCAGCCCUUAAAAUCAGUGGCGGUGCCAUUAGGCUCUAAGCGUAGUAAUUCUUCUCGCUAUAGGGUUCUGGUGGAUGCUUGCCAUUAACCUCUAAUUUUCUAUGGUUGACCUCGGAUCAGGUAGGGAUACCCGCUGAACUUAAGCAUAUCAAUAAGCGGAGGA
rnacentral:misc_RNA from 1 species